UUCAUCCUGUGAUUUACUGUGAGGUCCUGGCAAGGGUAAUGAAUCAGCAAAUCGCAGUCAAUGUGUGUACACGAUGGGAGUAUGAAAACAUAUGAGCAGAAGAGAAAACUAAAUACUGGUUAGUGCACAUGAAAGCUUGCAGUGAAGUCGACAUCUGCUGCUACCUAAUGGCUACAUGAGAUCCUGGACAUCGCAUAAGAGAAAAUAUAAUAAAGCAAAAAAGUUUUUUUGAGCAUCUGGUGGGCCCUGGUGUCGGGGCCCGGGUGGUUGUCAGAACUGAGGAUUCUUGAUGUGGUCACCAGCUAUCCAGGCACAGCACAUGACUUGUCACAUGUCUCGUACAUCCUCAGACAGUCCGGGAUAUAUGAAGAUUACAAGGCAGGUGUAUAUGGAGCUGGUUGGCUUCUUGGACGCUGUGAUUUGGGACAAGACCCUGUCCUCCUCCUACGGAGCGCAUUUAUUUUGUCCUUAAUGUUUCAUUGAAGUUAAUGUUCUUGCUGAUUCAGCACCAAAAAGCCUUUCACUAAUACAUUUAGCUCCUGGUCUGUAAACGUUAGAUUCCUCACUCUGUCCUCCUUGGUCGCUGUCAUUGUGACAAACUCAGAACCGUACUUACCUUAUACAAGUGCCCUUAUAUACUAUAAUAAAGUGUGUGUAAACCUUAUGCAUAAUUCCACACGAUGUGACAACUUGCAAAUUAAUCCUUUAGCUCGCUUUAUUUGUGCGUAUGAUCAGCUUAGUGAAUAGAGCGACCACUGCUUCAUUUUUGUGCGCAAUGUGGCUUCCCCCUGCCACAUGGUAAUUCUGGUCAUUUAUCGCUGUUUAGUGUUUUGUUGACUUUAUUGGGUGUGUUGCUCCUUUCUGAAAAAAAAGUGCUAAUGAUGAAUUGGAGUUAGUAGCUUUGAGAAUUUAGCCUUGUCUUUUAUUUGGAGGAUUUUCUAUUUUGUCAAAUGCCUUGACUCCACGAAAAUGAAAUGUUGU